AGUGAACGCUGGCGGUAGGCCUAACACAUGCAAGUCGAACGGCAGCACAGUAAGAGCUUGCUCUUACGGGUGGCGAGUGGCGGACGGGUGAGGAAUACAUCGGAAUCUACUUUUUCGUGGGGGAUAACGUAGGGAAACUUACGCUAAUACCGCAUACGACCUACGGGUGAAAGCAGGGGCUCUUCGGACCUUGCGCGAUCGAAUGAGCCGAUGUCGGAUUAGCUAGUUGGCGGGGUAAAGGCCCACCAAGGCGACGAUCCGUAGCUGGUCUGAGAGGAUGAUCAGCCACACUGGAACUGAGACACGGUCCAGACUCCUACGGGAGGCAGCAGUGGGGAAUAUUGGACAAUGGGCGCAAGCCUGAUCCAGCCAUACCGCGUGGGUGAAGAAGGCCUUCGGGUUGUAAAGCCCUUUUGUUGGGAAAGAAAAGCAGCAGGUUAAUACCCCGCUGUUCUGACGGUACCCAAAGAAUAAGCACCGGCUAACUUCGUG
rnacentral:rRNA from 1 species